GGACGGCUGAAAAUUUCUACUCACUGUGUUUCGGACAGUGACACCACACUUGUGACACAGCCACUCUCCGUCAGGGACAGUGUCUGCGUCCACACACGCCAUGUGGAACCACAGCUGGCAGAGGUCGCACUGGAUCCAGUCAUCCACCUCUGCGUUGGACCCUGGUGGCAAGGUGUUUUUACAAAUAGCACAGUCUUAAGCAUUUGAAUGUGCUCAUUCAAUCCAUUGCAGUGCCAUCGUCCAUUGCAGGCGCUCGGGCUUGCAGUGGCACCCGACGCCGUAUCCCUUCUGCUUUCUGGCCAAAGGUGUGGCAGCAAGGACCCUGGCCCUGUCAAGGGAGUCCGGUGUUCGGGUGGUUAGCUCUGGGUGGCGAGCUUUGAAGCGGACCCACCAGUUG